rnacentral:rRNA from 1 species
GACGAACGCUGGCGGCGUGCUUAACACAUGCAAGUCGAGCGGAAAGGCCCUUCGGGGUACUCGAGCGGCGAACGGGUGAGUAACACGUGAGUAACCUGCCCCAGACUUUGGGAUAACCCUCGGAAACGGGGGCUAAUACCGGAUACGACACAGCUUCGCAUGGGGUCUGUGUGGAAAGUUUUUCGGUUUGGGAUGGGCUCGAGGCCUAUCAGCUUGUUGGUGGGGUGAUGGCCUACCAAGGCGACGACGGGUAGCCGGCCUGAGAGGGCGACCGGCCACACUGGGACUGAGACACGACCCAGACUCCUGCGGGAGGCAGCAGUGGGGAAUAUUGCACAAUGGGCGGAAGCCUGAUGCAGCGACGCCGCGUGAGGGAUGACGGCCUUCGGGUUGUAAACCUCUUUCAGCAGGGACGAAGCGUAAGUGACGGUACCUGCAGAAGAAGCGCCGGCCAACUACGUG